rnacentral:rRNA from 1 species
GGAUUAGAUACCCUGGUAGUCCACGCCCUAAACGAUGUAUGCUUGGUGUUGGUGCUCUGCAUCAGUGCCGGAGGAAAUCCGUUAAGCAUACCACCUGGGGAGUACGAUCGCAAGGUUGAAACUCAAAGGAAUUGACGGGGGCCCGCACAAGCGGUGGAUUAUGUGGUUUAAUUCGAUGCAACGCGAAGAACCUUACCUGGGCUUGAAGUGCAGUGGACCGUCCCUGAAAGGGGACUUUUCUUCGGAACUGCUGUAGAGGUGCUGCAUGGCUGUCGUCAGCUCGUGCCG